AACAAACGCUGGCGGCGUGCCUAAUACAUGCAAGUCGAACGGGGAAAGCUUUCGGGUGAGUACUAGUGGCGCACGGGUGAGUAACGCGUGGAUAAUCUGCCUUAGAGUGGGGGAUAACUAGUCGAAAGAUUAGCUAAUACCGCAUAAGACCACAAGAACUGCGGUUCAAGGGGUCAAAGGUUUUUCGCUCUAAGAUGAGUCCGCGUAAGAUUAGCUAGUUGGUAGGGUAAUGGCCUACCAAGGCGACGAUCUUUAACUGGUCUGAGAGGAUGAUCAGUCACACUGGAACUGAGACACGGUCCAGACUCCUACGGGAGGCAGCAGUAGGGAAUAUUGCACAAUGGAGGAAACUCUGAUGCAGCGACGCCGCGUGAGUGAUGAAGGCCUUCGGGUCGUAAAGCUCUGUCGCAGGGGAAUAACACAAUGAAGGUACCCUGUAAGAAAGGAUCGGCUAACUUCGUGCCAGCAGCCGCAGUAACAC
rnacentral:rRNA from 1 species